rnacentral:rRNA from 1 species
GAUGAACGCUAGCGGCAGGCCUAACACAUGCAAGUCGAGGGGUAACUAGAGUGAUAGCAAUAUUACUUUGGCUAGACCGGCGCACGGGUGCGUAACACGUAUGCAACCUACCUUAUACUGGGGAAUAACUUCGAGAAAUCGGCGCUAAUACCCCAUAACAUUGCGAAGAGGCAUCUCUUUGCAAUUAAAGCUCCGGCGGUAUAAGAUGGGCAUGCGUCCAAUUAGCUAGUUGGUGAGGUAACGGCUCACCAAGGCUACGAUUGGUAGGGGUUCUGAGAGGAUGAUCCCCCACACUGGUACUGAGACACGGACCAGGCUCCUACGGGAGGCAGCAGUGAGGAAUAUUGCGCAAUGGACGAAAGUCUGACGCAGCCAUGCCGCGUGCAGGAUGACGGCCCUAUGGGUUGUAAACUGCUUUUGUACGGGAAUAAACCCUUCUACGUGUAGGAGGCUGAAGGUACCGUAAGAAUAAGCACCGGCUAACUCCGUGCCAGCAGCCGCCGUAAAAC